CCAACUUCUGAAUGUUGACCUCGGAUCAGGUAGGAAUACCCGCUGAACUUAAGCAUAUCAAUAAGCGGAGGAAA
rnacentral:rRNA from 1 species